CCUACGGGGGGCUGCAGUGGGGAAUAUUGCACAAUGGGCGCAAGCCUGAUGCAGCCAUGCCGCGUGUGUGAAGAAGGCCUUCGGGUUGUAAAGCACUUUCAGCGGGGAGGAAGGCGGUGAGGUUAAUAACCUCAUCGAUUGACGUUACCCGCAGAAGAAGCACCGGCUAACUCCGUGCCAGCAGCCGCGGUAAUACGGAGGGUGCAAGCGUUAAUCGGAAUUACUGGGCGUAAAGCGCACGCAGGCGGUCUGUCAAGUCGGAUGUGAAAUCCCCGGGCUCAACCUGGGAACUGCAUUCGAAACCGGCAGGCUAGAGUCUUGUAGAGGGGGGUAGAAUUCCAGGUGUAGCGGUGAAAUGCGUAGAGAUCUGGAGGAAUACCGGUGGCGAAGGCGGCCCCCUGGACAAAGACUGACGCUCAGGUGCGAAAGCGUGGGGAGCAAACAGGAUUAGAUACCCCUGUAGUC
rnacentral:rRNA from 1 species